AAUUAACAUAGAAUUCAUGUUUCCAUACUAAACACCUUAUUAUUCUUUUUAUUCAAAGCAUUUUUAAGCCUCAAGUAGAAUGUAAAUGUCAGUUUUUAAAUGAACAUGAAGAUAAAACAAUGUGUACUAAAACUACAUUCUACAAAAUUUCUUGGCUCAAAGCCACAUGACAUGAGACUCUGAGAGAGAACCUCCACUCAAUGAUCUUUCAAAAUAGAAAAGUUUACUUUUAUUUAGGUUACUGUUACGUUACAAUUGCUCUCUAUUCCUGUUACAGCAGUACAUGCAGAGUCUGUACAUUUUCCAUCAUGUGAAAUUCUAGGACUUUGGCAAUUCUCCAGGACCAGAAAAUUGGGACUAACAAAGGAAGCAAAGGGCACUUAAGCACAACAAAUGGCAAAAACUCUGAAAACACUUUUUGCACAACAGAUGCUAACUUACAUCCUUCGUCUUGACAAACAGUUCCUUGCUGGCAGCAGGACCAAAUCCUGUCAGGGAUUUGAUGCCUGGUUGGUUGAAGAGAAGACGUGGACACUGAG